GAUGAACGCUAGCUACAGGCUUAACACAUGCAAGUCGAGGGGAAACGAUAUUGGAAGCUUGCUUCCGAUAGGCGUCGACCGGCGCACGGGUGAGUAACGCGUAUCCAACCUGCCCACCACUUGGGGAUAACCUUGCGAAAGUAAGACUAAUACCCAAUGAUAUCUCUAGAAGACAUCUGAAGGAGAUUAAAGAUUUAUCGGUGAUGGAUGGGGAUGCGUCUGAUUAGCGUGUUGGCGGGGUAACGGCCCACCAAGGCGACGAUCAGUAGGGGUGCUGAGAGGAAGGUCCCCCACAUUGGAACUGGGACACGGUCCAAACUCCUACGGGAGGCAGCAGUGAGGAAUAUUGGUCAAUGGACGAGAGUCUGAACCAGCCAAGUAGCGUGCAGGAUGACGGCCCUAUGGGUUGUAAACUGCUUUUAUAAGGGAAUAAAGUGAGCCUCGUGAGGCUUUUUGCAUGUACCUUAUGAAUAAGGACCGGCUAAUUCCGUGCCAGCAGCCGCAGUAA
rnacentral:rRNA from 1 species